AUUGAACGCUGGCGGCAUGCCUUACACAUGCAAGUCGAACGGCAGCACGGGAGCAAUCCUGGUGGCGAGUGGCGAACGGGUGAGUAAUAUAUCGGAACGUGCCCAGUCGUGGGGGAUAACGCAGCGAAAGCUGUGCUAAUACCGCAUACGAUCUACGGAUGAAAGCGGGGGAUCGCAAGACCUCGCGCGAUUGGAGCGGCCGAUAUCAGAUUAGCUAGUUGGUGAGGUAAAGGCUCACCAAGGCGACGAUCUGUAGCUGGUCUGAGAGGACGCCCAGCAACACUGGAACUGAGACACGGUCCAGACUCCUACGGGAGGCAGCAGGGGGGAAUUUUGGACAAUGGGCGCAAGCGUGAUCCAGCAAUGCCGCGUGCAGGAUGAAGGCCUUCGGGUUGUAAACUGCUUUUGUACGGAACGAAACGGCGAGCUCUAAUACAGUUUGCUAAUGACGGUACCGUAAGAAUAAGCACCGGCUAACUACGUGCCAGCCGCCGCGGUAACAC
rnacentral:rRNA from 1 species